UACAACAACGGGAGUAUCAGC
rnacentral:siRNA from 1 species